ensembl:lncRNA
AUUCAGUUCUCGGUUUGGGCCUGUCUUUAUAAUAAGGGAAAGGAUUAGACAAAUUGGAGACAGAACUCAGAGCUGAAUCCUGUCCUGGGUUGUCACAACUCUCCACAGAAAAGGGUUUGAUUAUAGACCCCUUUGUUCAGAACUGCUGACAAGGAAACCUGACAUCUAUCCUUCCAGCUUGUGCCAACACAGUGCUCAAGGGGAACAGUCAGUUCAAUUAUCCUUUGGGAAGAGCCUUGGAGAAGUUCUUCCUCUCUCUCUCUCUCUCUAGGGUUGCCUCGAGCCCUGGUGUCAAAUACUGAGAGAGAGAGAGAGAGAGAGAGAGAGAGAGAGAGAGAGAGAGAGAGAGAGAGAGAGAGAGAGAGAGAGAGAGAGAGAGAGAGAGAGAGACUGCCAUCUUUUUCCUCAACCCUUCUGCUUCAUCCAUAUCCCCUUCUCCACAUUUCCCUUCAACCUCUCACUGGAGUUCACAUCCUCCUAGGGAUUUCUCUUUUACAACUGUCAAGAUUAUGUAGACACUAUUAUGUACAAUUUGGAACUGAAACAAGGUCCAGCAACAAGACAAGAUUUAAGAUGGCUGGUGAUGGUUCAGGAUACAGUGGAUUAUCUUGCCAUCUUCGAUGUCUGAAGAAACUCCACAAUACCUGCUUCAACCACCUUCAUAGCUAUCGGAACAAAUUGUUCUCAUCUGCCCCUUCUGCCAGGCGAAGUCUUUGCAAGGCUGAGGAAGACACUCCACCAAUUCACUGAAAAAUUUGAGGACUGUCAGUUAUCCUGAAUCUAGUUUAUCCCACCUGCCAUGCUGGUCUAGGUUGUGGCCACUGCACAUGCUAUAGCUUCUUGGAGCCACAGAUGAGAGCUGGGUGGCAGGUGGGCACCAAAGGAGGAAGGUGGCCCCAAAAAGGGGUUGGUAAAACCUCAACCAAGAGGUACUAGUCUUCCCUAAACACCUCAUACACCACUGAUGUUAGGUAGCUAUGAAUCAAGAACACAAUCAUUGAGUUAGCUACAGGGCUUAGUAGAUAGAGUACUGGAUUGAAGUCAGGAAGAUCUGAGUUCAAAUGUAUUUCAAGCCCUUAUUGUAUGGCCCUAGGCAACUUGCUUAAUCUAUUUUAGCCUCCAUUUCCUCAUCAUAAAAUGAAAAUGAUAACACACAACAGCAGGUUCAAAUGAGCUAACAUGUGAAGAGCUCUGCAAAUCUUAAGCCAUUUUAUAAAUGCUAGCCAUUGUUAUUUCCAAAGAAUCAAAACUAUAGGGGCCCCGAAGGGCAAUACUUUUUUUAUAGUCCACAAACAAAACAGUAGCUGGCAUUUAUAUAGAGCUUUAACAUUUGCAAAGUACUUUCCAAAUAUGCCAACCAUUCAUUGAAGGCUUUCUUGACUUUUCCUUUAAAAUAUCAUCUCUUCACAUUCAGACUAAAAGUGAUCUCUUCUUUUUUGAAAUUUCUCUUGAUUCUUUGCUUGAAUUCAGCACUUAUCACAAUUUUAUUGACUUGCUUUAUUUAUUUGUGUGCAUGUAUUUUCUCUGCUAGUAAAGUAGUAGCCUUCAUAGCCCAAUCUAUGUAGUUAUCUAUUUUUGUAUCCCCAGCUCCAUGUAUGAUAGUGGAUUCUUUGAAAAUAUUUGUUGGAUUGGUUGGGGCAAAUGGUUUCACCUCUGAACUUUUCUUUCCUUGCCUAGUAGAGUGAAUGUCACUUGGAGUCAGGAGGACCUGGGCUCAGCACCCUUAUACAUGUAAUUUUACUAACUGCAAGGCACUAGGAAUGUCUCUUAAUUUCUCUCUGACACCAUUUUGCUCUCUGUAAAAUGAGGGAAAUGUCCUCAAUGGUCUCAAAGAUCCCUUCCAGCUCAAAUUCCUAUAAUCCAAUUUUGAAAAUAUUUAUCUUGUUCUGUAAUAUUAUGGAAAUAAAAUAUUAGAGAUUGCAGCA